rnacentral:rRNA from 1 species
GAUAGCCUUCGAAAGAAGAUUAAUACCCCAUAAUAUUUUGAUGGCAUCAUUAGAAAUUGAAAACUCCGGUGGAUAGAGAUGGCACGCGCAAGAUUAGAUAGUUGGUGAGGUAACGGCUCACCAAGUCUACGAUCUUUAGGGGGCCUGAGAGGGUGAUCCCCCACACUGGUACUGAGACACGGACCAGACUCCUACGGGAGGCAGCAGUGAGGAAUAUUGGACAAUGGGUGAGAGCCUGAUCCAGCCAUCCCGCGUGAAGGACGACGGCCCUAUGGGUUGUAAACUUCUUUUGUAUAGGGAUAAACCUACUCUCGUGAGAGUAGCUGAAGGUACUAUACGAAUAAGCACCGGCUAACUCCGUGCCAGCAGCCGCGGUAAUACGGAGGGUGCAAGCGUUAUCCGGAUUUAUUGGGUUUAAAGGGUCCGUAGGCGGAUCUGUAAGUCAGUGGUGAAAUCUCACAGCUUAACUGUGAAACUGCCAUUGAUACUGCAGGUCUUGAGUGUUGUUGAAGUAGCUGGAAUAAGUAGUGUAGCGGUGAAAUGCAUAGAUAUUACUUAGAACACCAAUUGCGAAGGCAGGUUACUAAGCAACAACUGACGCUGAUGGACGAAAGCGUGGGGAGCGAACAGGAUUAGAUACCCUGGUAGUCCACGCCGUAAACGAUGCUAACUCGUUUUUGGAUUUUCGGAUUCAGAGACUAAGCGAAAGUGAUAAGUUAGCCACCUGGGGAGUACGUUCGCAAGAAUGAAACUCAAAGGAAUUGACGGGGGCCCGCACAAGCGGUGGAUUAUGUGGUUUAAUUCGAUGAUACGCGAGGAACCUUACCAAGGCUUAAAUGGGAAAUGACAGGUUUAGAAAUAGACUUUUCUUCGGACAUUUUUCAAGGUGCUGCAUGGUUGUCGUCAGCUCGUGCCGUGAGGUGUUAGGUUAAGUCCUGCAACGAGCGCAACCCCUGUCACUAGUUGCCAUCAUUAAGUUGGGGACUCUAGUGAGACUGCCUACGCAAGUAGAGAGGAAGGUGGGGAUGACGUCAAAUCAUCACGGCCCUUACGCCUUGGGCCACACACGUAAUACAAUGGCCGGUACAGAGGGCAGCUACACAGCGAUGUGAUGCAAAUCUCGAAAGCCGGUCUCAGUUCGGAUUGGAGUCUGCAACUCGACUCUAUGAAGCUGGAAUCGCUAGUAAUCGCGCAUCAGCCAUGGCGCGGUGAAUACGUUCCCGGGCCUUGUACACACCGCCCGUCAAGCCAUGGAAGUCUGGGGUACCUGAAGUCGGUGACCGGUACAG